rnacentral:rRNA from 1 species
CCCUUAGAUGUUCUGGGCCGCACGCGCGCUACACUGAACAGUUCAACAAGUCUUAACCUUGGCCGAUAGGUCUGGGUAAUCUUUGAACGCUGUUCGUGAUUGGGAUAGACCUUUGCAAUUAUGGGUCUUCAACGAGGAAUUCCUAGUAAACGCAAGUCAUCAGCUUGCAUUGAUUACGUCCCUGCCCUUUGUACACACCGCCCGUCGCACCUACCGAUUGAAUGGUCCGGUGAAAUCUCGGGACGGCGGCUUGGUCGCUUGCGUCCGACUGCUGAAACUUGAUUAAACCAUAUCAUUUAGAGGAAGGUGAAGACGUAACA